UACAGAGGUCUCAAGCGUUGUUCGGAUUCAUUGGGCGUAAAGGGUGCGUAGGUGGCGCGAUAAGUCGGGUGUGAAAUCUCGGAGCUUAACUCCGAAAUUGCAUUCGAUACUGCCGUGCUCGAGGACUGGAGAGGAGACUGGAAUUCAUGGUGUAGCAGUGAAAUGCGUAGAGAUCAUGAGGAAGACCAGUGGCGAAGGCGGUCUGCUGGGCAGUUUCUGACACUGAUGCGCGACAGCGUGGGGAGCAAACAGG
rnacentral:rRNA from 1 species